rnacentral:rRNA from 1 species
GCCUACGGGGGGCAGCAGUAGGGAAUCUUCCACAAUGGGCGAAAGCCUGAUGGAGCAACGCCGCGUGGGUGAAGAAGGUCUUCGGAUCGUAAAACCCUGUUGUUAGAGAAGAAAGUGCGUGAGAGUAACUGUUCACGUUUCGACGGUAUCUAACCAGAAAGCCACGGCUAACUACGUGCCAGCAGCCGCGGUAAUACGUAGGUGGCAAGCGUUAUCCGGAUUUAUUGGGCGUAAAGAGAACGCAGGCGGUCUUUUAAGUCUGAUGUGAAAGCCUUCGGCUUAACCGGAGUAGGGCGUUGGAAACU